GAGGAAUAUUGGUCAAUGGACGCAAGUCUGAACCAGCCAAGUAGCGUGCAGGAUGACGGCCCUCCGGGUUGUAAACUGCUUUUAGUUGGGAAUAAAAAAAGGGACGUGUCCCUUAUUGUAUGUACCUUCAGAAAAAGGACCGGCUAAUUCCGUGCCAGCAGCCGCGGUAAUACGGAAGGUCCAGGCGUUAUCCGGAUUUAUUGGGUUUAAAGGGAGCGUAGGCGGAUUGUUAAGUCAGCGGUUAAAGGGUGUGGCUCAACCAUACAUUGCCGUUGAAACUGGCGAUCUUGAGUGCAGACAGGGAUGCCGGAAUUCGUGGUGUAGCGGUGAAAUGCUUAGAUAUCACGAAGAACUCCGAUCGCGAAGGCAGGUGUCCGGGCUGCAACUGACGCUGAGGCUCGAAAGUGUGGGUAUCAAACAGGAUUAGAUACCCUGGUAGUCCACACAGUAAACGAUGUAUACUCGCGGUUUGCGAUAGAUUGUAAGCCGCCAAGCGAAAGCAUUAAGUAUACCACCUGGGGAGUACGCCGGCAACGGUG
rnacentral:rRNA from 1 species